rnacentral:rRNA from 1 species
UACAGAGGGUGCGAGCGUUGUCCGGAAUCACUGGGCGUAAAGGGCGCGUAGGUGGCCUGGUAAGUAGGGGGUGAAAUCUCGCGGCUCAACUGCGAGGCUGCCUCCUAAACUGUCAGGCUCGAGCAGAGUAGAGGCAGGUGGAAUUCCCGGUGUAGCGGUGGAAUGCGUAGAGAUCGGGAAGAACAUCGGUGGCGAAGGCGGCCUGCUGGGCUCUUGCUGACACUGAGGCGCGACAGCGUGGGGGAGCAAACAGG